CCUUCAUGAAGCUGGAAUUGCUAGUAAUGGCAGGUCAGCAUACUGCCGUGAAUACGUUCCCGGGCCUUGUACACACCGCCCGUCACACCAUGAGAGUUGGGAAUACCCGAAGCCUGUGAGCUAACUUAUAGAGGCAGCAGUCGAAGGUAGAAUCAAUGAUUGGGGUGAAGUCGUAACAAGGUAUC
rnacentral:rRNA from 1 species